rnacentral:rRNA from 1 species
CAGCAGCCGCGGUAAUACGAAGGGUGCAAGCGUUAAUCGGAAUUACUGGGCGUAAAGCGUGCGUAGGCGGUGAGUUAAGUCUGCUGUGAAAUCCCCGGGCUCAACCUGGGAAUGGCAGUGGAUACUGGCUCGCUAGAGUGUGUCAGAGGAUGGUGAAAUUCCCGGUGUAGCGGUGAAAUGCGUAGAGAUCGGAAGGAACAUCUGUGGCGAAGGCGACUAUCUGGGCCAACACUGACACUGAGGCACGAAAGCGUGGGGAGCAAACAGGAUUAGAUACCCGCGUAGUCCCUGUCUCUUAUAC